GCUGAGAUUAGGAGCACACUCUUAAAGGGAGAGAGAGAGAGAGAGAAAGGGGAGAGAGGAGAAAGAGAGAGCGAGAGAGAGAGGGGAGAAAGAGAGCGAGAGAGCAGGGUGAGAGAGAGAGAGAAGGGUGAGAGAGAGAGCAGGGUGAGAGAGAGAGCAGAGUGAGUGAGAGAAAGAGCAGGGUGAGUGAGAGCAGGGUGAGAGAGAGAGCAGAGUGAGAGAGCAGGGUGAGAGAGAGAGCAGAGUGAGAGAGGAGAGUGAGAGAGAGAGUGAGAGAGCAGAGUGAGAGAGUGAGAGAGAGAGCAGGGUGAGAGAGAGAGAGCAGGCAGGGUGAGAGAGAGCAGGAGCAGGGUGAGAGAGAGAGAGCAGGGUGAGAGAGAGAGCAGGGUGAGAGAGAGAGCAGGGUGAGAGCGAGAG
rnacentral:lncRNA from 1 species